rnacentral:lncRNA from 1 species
AUGCCAGGGCAGGUGGGGCAGCAACCACAAGGAGCUUUGCCUCGAGCUGGUGUCCCCAGGAAAAGCAGCCAGGGGCGACAGGAACGCGGACAGCGCUGGGGCGGGGGCGUCCAGCCAGGCUCGGGAGCGCGGCGCGGGCCGAGGGGGUCCGUGUGCGGGGCGGGGCGGGGGGGGCUCUUCGGGGGUCCGGUCGCGGAGCCCUCGGUCCCACGCGGUGGCAGGUCCCCGACCCUCCGACCUCCGAACCCGGCUGGGCCCCCGCGCCCCGCGCCCCGCCGGGUCGCUCCCGGGGUGUGUCCCCGCGGGCUGGGCGCCGAGGCCACCCCAGGCUCCCGCCGAGCAGGGUUCGAGCCUCGCUGCGCGCGGUGGCCUCCGCGGGGCGGCCCGGGCCCGCGACUUCCUCGCGCUCCCCUCGCGCCCCCCUCGCGCCCGGGCGCAGCCGGGUCUCGUUACCGCCCCGCCCCGCCCCCCCCGCGCCCCGGGGGGUCUCUGCGGCCGGGGGAGGGGCGCCUCCUAAUCAAUCCCAGGCCGGAAAUUCCUCCCGAGGGGCCCGGCCGGGCUGCGGGGCCGGGGCCGGGGCGGGGGGCGGGGGACGGGGGCGGGGGCGGGGGCGGGCUCGGAGCCUGGCGGGCCGCCCGGCCGCCCCUCCUCCUCCCGAGCCCGCCCCCCGCAUCAUGGAAACUGGGCCGCCGGCCGACCCCCUCGCUCCGCUCCGCAUUCCUGCCGCGGGGGCGGGCGGGGCUCGGGAGCUGGGCGGCCCCGACAGGCCCGCGGCGGGGGCGCCCCGGAGCCUCGCGAUUGGGGGCCGCGGCGCCUCCCCGCUCCGGACGGGGCGCGUCUUCCCGGGGGGUUGCCCGUGACUCUCCGGUGGACGCGCUCAGCGGCCCGCCCCCGCCCCCGCCCCGGGCUCCUGUCACUGGGCGCUCGCGGGGUCCCCGGGGGCUGCCCCCGUGUCGCGUGCCCGCCCGCAACGCUGAUUCUCGCCUCUCCGCGUCUUGCGGGGCGGACCCCACUAAGCCCAUUUUCCAGGUGAAGGCGGUGAGGUCCACGGAGGGGGCAGGCUGGCGGGGGGCGGGGCGGGAACCGGGCCGCCUCCUCCGGGGAGCUCCCCGGACGGCGCCCCCGCGAGCCCGCUCCCGGCGCUGGCAUGGGGGGCGCGGGCGGGCGCGGGCGGGCGCGGGCGGGCGCGGGCGGGCGCGCGGGCUUCGGAAGUCCUGGGGCCGCGCGCUCGCUGCGGAGCCGGGCAGGGCUCUCGGCUCCCGGGCUCAGUUUCCCCACGUGGGAAGGCGCGGCCGUCCCGGGCCUCUGCGAGCGGCGCUCCGAGCCACGGGCGCGCACACGCGCUUACCUGCGGCCCUGCGACCUGGGCGGCUGCGGCCUCCAGCGGCGGGGCCCCGCGGGGUGCCGGGGGCGGGGCCCGGGGGCGGGGCCCGGAGGGGCGGGGCCGGGGGGCGGGGCCGGGCCGCGGUGGAGCCGGCGGCAGAGCCGGGAGCCGCGGCGCGCGGACUCGGACCCGGACCCGCCGGGGCGCGGCGGCGCCAGGUGAGCAGGACGAGGGCCCCGGGGCUCGCGCUCCACUUUGCUCAACUUUUCGUUCGGCCCGUCCGUCCGGGAAGGCCCUGGGGCGGGAGCCCGGUCCCCCCCCCCGCGGAGUGCGGACGCGGGCGGAGGCGGGACCCGAGCGCGAGGGACGCGGCCCGCGGCAACUUACCGGCCCGAGACCAGGGCCUCCCCGGGGCGGUCGGCGGGGGUCCCCGGCCAGGGCUCCGCGCCCGCCGCAGUCGGGGUCUCCCCGCACGCCCCGCCCCUGUCCCCGCGGGGAGCCCUCCGGAGUCGGCUCCACACUCCGGGACGACCGGGGAACGGCCGUCGCCGCCUCCCGGGGGCCCCGGGGCUGUGCGGGGAGGCGCACGGCGUCGGCGGGGGUCCCGAGGCCCGGCGUCGGGUCCCGGGGCGCCCCCUCCUCGGGGGACCCCGGCGGGCCCCCCGGCCGCUCUGGGCCGCCGCCUGCAGCUGCGAGAAUCAGGCUCUGGACGCGGCCGACUGCGGCUCCGUGCUAGGCCCCGGGCCUUCCGCACCCCGCUCGGCGGCAGGGAUGGGGUGUCGUGCCGGGCUUCGGGGGUGCGGAUGGGGACUGAGCGGGGCGGCGAGGCCUCCUCCCCCGAGCCUCGCUACGGGUGCCAGCGGCGGAGCGGCUUAGAACCCGGACUGGGGGGCAGGGAGCACGCGCCCCUGGACAGCGAGGUCCCGGCCCCCCUCCCCUGCGACCCAGGGCGCCUGGCGGGGGCCCCGCUCCCCCCACGCCCUCCCUUCGUGGGGGCCACACGGCACACGGCGCAGCUGCUCCUCACCCGGCCCUUCAGUCCUCAGGCCACAGGCCGGGAAGGGCCGAACCGGGCGGCCAGAUGGGGCGGCCCGAGGUGCUGGGGCGGCGCUGCUCCGUCCGGGACGCGGGCCACCGAGGCCUCGGGUGGAGGAGGCCGGAAAGGAGGACAGGCGGCGGGAAAGGGGGAUGAUUCAUCCCGAGGAGCUCGAAUUGGAAACGCUGCAACCCGGGAACAGCCUUGCCCGGGCCGACGGGAGAGUCGGGGAGCGGGGAAGCUCUCCCGGCGGGGCCCCGCGCCCAGCACCUGCAGCCCCCCCGCUCCCCGCGCCCCGUCCGGGCCGCGACCCGGCCGCUGGAGGAGGGGAGGCCUCUUCUGCGCGGAGCGGGAAGCAAUCCUGGGCGAAGUCGGCCGCUGGCCUUGGUCAGAACGGUCUUCCCGGAGUCUAGCUCAAGUCUCUCCUGCUGCAGCUUCCGUGCAGGCUGAGGAGGUCUGA